AGAGUUUGAUCCUGGCUCAGGAUGAACGCUGGCGGCGUGCCUAAUACAUGCAAGUCGAACGAGAGCCCUGGUUUCGACUGGGGUGAGAGUGGCGAACGGGUGAGUAACACAUGGCUGACCUGCCCCUCAGAGGGGGACAACCGCUGGAAACGGUGGCUAAUACCCCAUACGCUCGUCCGGGUUAGAGGCUGGAUGAGGAAAGGCGCUAGUGCUGAGGGAGGGGGCUGUGGCCCAUCAGCUAGUUGGUAGGGUAACGGCCUACCAAGGCGAGGACGGGUAGGGGACCUGAGAGGGUGACCCCCCACACGGGCACUGAGAGACGGGCCCGACUCCUACGGGAGGCAGCAGUAAGGGAUAUUGCGCCAAUGGGCGAAAGCCUGACGCAGCAACGCCGCGUGCGGGAUGACGGCCUUCGGGUUGUAAACCGCUUUUCCGGGGGAAGAGGGAGGACGGUACCCUGGGAAUAAGUCUCGGCUAACUACGUGCCAGCAGCCGCGGUAAAACGUAGGAGGCGAGCGUUAUCCGGAUUUACUGGGUGUAAAGCGCGUGCAGGCGGUUUAGCAAGUCGUGCGUGAAAGCGCUCUGGCUCAACCGGGCGAGGACGUGCGGAACUGCUGAACUAUAGGCAGGUAGAAGGCGUGUGGAAUUCCGGGUGUAGUGGUGAAAUGCGUAUAGAUCCGGAAGAACACCCGUGGUGAAUGCUAUGCGCUGGGCCUGACCCUGACUCUACAACUCAACAUCAUGGGCAAGCGCAAGGGAUUACUUUCCCCCGCAGCCCCUCCCCCAAUCUAGCCGACCAGGCGCGGCGGGAACACUCCCCUUUGCCUAAUCCUAGAUCUUUAUUCCUUCCACGUGGGGGUACGGCC
rnacentral:rRNA from 1 species